GACCGUACCGCAAACCGACACUGGUGCGCGAGAUGAGUAUUCUAAGGCGCUUGAGAGAACUCAGGAGAAGGAACUCGGCAAAUUGACACCGUAACUUCGGAAGAAGGUGUGCCUUUAGUAGGUGAAGGGAUUUACUCCUAGAGCCCAAUGAGGUUGCAAAAAAUCGGUGGCUGCGACUGUUUAUUAAAAACACAGCACUCUGCAAACACGAAAGUGGACGUAUAGGGUGUGACGCCUGCCCGGGUGCUGGAAGAUUAAAUGAUGGGGUGCAAGCUCUUGAUUGAAGUCCCAGUAAACGGCGGCCGUAACGAUAACGGUCCUAAGGUAGCGAAAUUCCUUGUCGGGUAAGUUCCGACCUGCACGAAUGGCGUAACGAUGGCCACACUGUCUCCUCCUGAGACUCAGCGAAGUUGAAAUGUUUGUGAUGAUGCAAUCUCCCCGCGGAAAGACGGAAAGACCCCAUGAACCUUUACUGUAGCUUUGUAUUGGACUUUGAACAGAUCUGUGUAGGAUAGGUGGGAGGCUUUGAAGUAGGGUCGCUAGAUCUUAUGGAGCCAACGUUGAAAUACCACCCUGGUGUGUUUGAGGUUCUAACCUAGGUCCAUUAUCUGGACCGGGGACAGUGCAUGGUAGGCAGUUUGACUGGGGCGGUCUCCUUCCAAAGCGUAACGGAGGAGUUCGAAGGUACGCUAGUUACGGUCGGACAUCGUGACGAUAGUGCAAUGGCAUAAGCGUGCUUAACUGCGAGACUGACAAGUCGAGCAGAUGCGAAAGCAGGACAUAGUGAUCCGGUGGUUCUGUAUGGAAGGGCCAUCGCUCAACGGAUAAAAGGUACUCUGGGGAUAACAGGCUGAUACCGCCCAAGAGUUCAUAUCGACGGCGGUGUUUGGCACCUCGAUGUCGGCUCAUCUCAUCCUGGGGCUGUAGCCAGUCCCAAGGGUAUGGCUGUUCGCCAUUUAAAGAGGUACGUGAGCUGGGUUUAAAACGUCGUGAGACAGUUUGGUCCCUAUCUUCCGUGGGCGCUGCAGAUUUGAGGAAGUCUGCUCCUAGUACGAGAGGACCGGAGUGGACACACCUCUGGUGUAUCGGUUGUCACGCCAGUGGCAUUGCCGAGUAGCUAAGUGUGGAAGAGAUAACCGCUGAAAGCAUCUAAGCGGGAAACUCGUUUCAAGAUGAGAUCUGCCGGGGCCUUGAGCCCCCUAAAGAGUCGUUCAAGACCAGGACGUUGAUAGGUCGGGUGUGGAAGCGCAGUAAUGCGUUAAGCUAACCGAUACUAAUUGCUCGUGCGGCUUGACCAU
rnacentral:rRNA from 1 species